UAAUACUAGUCUCUCUUAGCACUCAAGUCUCAUUGUGAGAAACACCUUGAAAUAGAGCACCGCAGGUCGACACUUGUUGACCUGGACAUUCUGACCAUCAGAUCACACUGAAGGACGUCGCUAGUAAUUACAGUGGGAAAAACAGAUGACAAGAUGAAAAUAUCUACAAGCUUAUUUCUGAUUUGUAGUCGCUUUAACCAUGGCAUCGGAAGAGUUUAAUUCGACCAUGGAAACAGACAAACAACUUGGUUCUCGUCUAGCUGAAGAUCAGAGCAACUGUCAACAAGCCCUAAUGGUGUGUGGACCUAAAGUAGGCAGAUGCUGUCCACCAAAUCUGAGAUGCUAAGGCGGCUAUUGUGAACAUUAAAUUUAUUUAAAUGAAUUGAAGCUUUGACGUUCCUUGUUGACCAGAUUGUGCAAAACGGAGCCUAAAUUGUUAACGUAACGAUAUGUUUGGGUAAUUUUAUAAAAGUAAUCAAGUAGCUUCGUUUUAUUUUUUACCUAAAAUCAAAUGAAAGCAAAAAUUAAAACAAA